UAAUCCCUACGGGAGGCAGCAGUGGGGAAUAUUGCACAAUGGGGGGAACCCUGAUGCAGCGACGCCGCGUGAGUGAAGAAGUAUUUCGGUAUGUAAAGCUCUAUCAGCAGGGAAGAAAAUGACGGUACCUGACUAAGAAGCCCCGGCUAACUACGUGCCAGCAGCCGCGGUAAUACGUAGGGGGCAAGCGUUAUCCGGAUUUACUGGGUGUAAAGGGAGCGUAGACGGCAGAGCAAGUCUGAAGUGAAAGCCCGCGGCACAACUGAGGGACUGAUUUGGAAA
rnacentral:rRNA from 1 species